rnacentral:rRNA from 1 species
CAGUAGCCGCGGUAAUACAGAGGGUGCGAGCGUUAAUCGGAUUUACUGGGCGUAAAGCGUGCGUAGGCGGCUUCUUAAGUCGGAUGUGAAAUCCCUGAGCUUAACUUAGGAAUUGCAUUCGAUACUGGGAAGCUAGAGUAUGGGAGAGGAUGGUAGAAUUCCAGGUGUAGCGGUGAAAUGCGUAGAGAUCUGGAGGAAUACCGAUGGCGAAGGCAGCCAUCUGGCCUAAUACUGACGCUGAGGUACGAAAGCAUGGGGAGCAAACAGGAUUAGAUACCCCUGUAGUCCCUGUCUCUUAUCC